UUGUUUUAUAAAUGUAUACGCAAUGUAGGCUAUUAACACUGCAAAAAAAAGUAUACACGGCCUGCUGCGCUGUGGGAUAUUUUGCGAAUCAUCAAUGGAUAUUUAAAAAUAACAAUGGUAUAGAUUUAUUCGAUUCAGUUCUACCCGAAGACAAAGAAGCAUUCUCAUGUGAUAUUUUAAAUAUUGAUGUUAAAGAAUUUUACAGGGCCAGUUUAAUUGGAGCUAAAAAAUAUCUCUUUCACGAGGACAUGAAUCGCUUAGAUGUAGCCAAAGCGUAUCGCAGAAGAUUAGAUUUGUUUGCUACGGCAUUUAAAACUAUCAUUGUUAUUGGAAUAAUAUGGAUGAUAUAUAAGUGAACCGACACUGAUUGUUAAAUAUUCUCAGAUCGCAAACUGAUCAACAUCGUCACAAACAACUAUAGUGUAAUAUAUAAUACUUGAUGUAUAAUAUGAAAUAAAUUAAACUUGGCA